CUCCAUACAGGGCCGGCCUUAGGCCUUAAACCUGUGCGAAAAAUCUUCACAGUCCCCCCUCCCCCCACAUCAUCCAUGUAUGAUGUAAUGUUUGUGUUGUCUGUGUAUGUGAUAGGUGUGAUGACUGUGUGUGAUAUGUUUGCUAUGUGUUGGCUGUGUGUGAUAUUUGUAAUGGGUGUAUUAACAGUGUGUGAUAUGCGUGUAUUGGUUGUAUGUGAUAUUUGUGCUGGG